GCGGCCAAUCUUCAUGCCCGCGCGGGCCAGGGCACGCAGGGCGGACUGGGCACCGGGGCCGGGGGUCUUGGUCCGGUUGCCGCCGGUGGCGCGCAGCUUGAUGUGCAGGGCAGUGAUGCCCAGCUCCUGCACGCAGCAGAAUAAAAAAAUGUACCCAGCAUGAUUAGCCCAAAGCUCAGCAUUAUCACAAAGCGGGCGCUCCCGAGCGCUCCAUCACUGUCAAUCCUCCCUGUCUCUGGAGGGCUCCUCUACGUCCGCUGAUAGCUCCGGAUAAAAGUGCGCUGGAGUAUUCUGCAACCUGCAGCAUCGCCUGCGCCACUUCUCCGCUGGGCCACUGCCGCCCUGCUUGCCCGGCCGCCAAGCUCCUGUGCCGGCCUGCCCGUCCGCUGCCUCGCCAGACUGCUGCUGCAUCUUAAAGCUUCUGCCAAAACCUCCAGGAGCAUCCCGGGUCAAGAAGCGCCCUGCCGCCGCACGCAGUCGCCUGCCUCCUGCGCAGACAUUACAAGGCUGCCCGCAAAGCUUCCAACCCUCAAUUUGCCCAUUUACCUUGCACUUCUGGGCCACGUCCUGCGCGGCAAGCAUGGCCGCGUAGGGCGACGACUCGUCGCGGUCGGCCUUGACCUUCAUGCCGCCGGUGACGCGCGAAAUAGUUUCCCGGCCCGACAGGUCGGUCACAUGCACGAACGUGUCGUUGAAGCUGGCGAAGAUGUGAGCAACGCCGAAGACGUGCUCGCCCUCGCGGACGGUGGGGCCCAGGCUCACCACCUCCUUGGGGGCCUCAUCACCCUUGGCGGCCUUCUUGGGGGCCAUGGCUGCUGCU
rnacentral:lncRNA from 1 species